rnacentral:rRNA from 1 species
CAGCACCUCAAGUGGUCAGGAUGAUUAUUGGGCCUAAAGCAUCCGUAGCCUGCUUUGUUAGUUUUCGGUUAAAUCCGUACGCUCAACGUAUGGGCUGCCGGGAAUACUGCAAAGCUAGGGAGUGGGAGAGGUAGACGGUACUCGGUAGGAAGGGGUAAAAUCCUUUGAUCUAUUGAUGACCACCUGUGGCGAAGGCGGUCUACCAGAACACGUCCGACGGUGAGGGAUGAAAGCUGGGGGAGCAAACCGGAUUAGAUACCCGAGUAGUCC